CGCAGCCGCGGUAAUUCCAGCUCCAAUAGCGUAUAUUAAAGUUGUUGCAGUUAAAAAGCUCGUAGUUGAAUUUCGGGAUUGGCGCAUCGGUCGUGCCUUACGGGGUAUGAACUGGUGCAGUCAAUUUCUCACCUUCUGGAGAACCGCGAUGUCCUUAAUUGGGUGCCGCGGGGAACCAGGAACCUUUACUUUGAAAAAAUU
rnacentral:misc_RNA from 1 species